rnacentral:rRNA from 1 species
UACGUAGGGGGCAAGCGUUAUCCGGAAUUACUGGGUGUAAAGGGAGCGUAGACGGUAAUGUAAGUCUGGAGUGAAAGGCGGGGGCCCAACCCCCGGACUGCUCUGGAAACUAUGUUACUAGAGUGCAGGAGAGGUAAGCGGAAUUCCUAGUGUAGCGGUGAAAUGCGUAGAUAUUAGGAGGAACACCAGUGGCGAAGGCGGCUUACUGGACUGUAACUGACGUUGAGGCUCGAAAGCGGGGGGAGCAAACAGG